GGGCGCGUGGCCUAGCCCGGAUAUGGCGGCAGCCUCCUAUUCUUUUCAGGAGAAAGCUGUAGGUCGGGGGUUCAAUUCCCCCCGCGCCCG
rnacentral:tRNA from 1 species